rnacentral:rRNA from 1 species
UACGAAGGACCCAAGCGUUAUCCGGAUUUAUUGGGUUUAAAGGGUGCGUAGGCGGGUUAUUAAGUCAGUGGUGAAAGCCUUCAGCUUAACUGAAGAACUGCCAUUGAUACUGAUGAUCUUGAGUAUGAUUGAGGCGGGCGGAAUGUGUCAUGUAGCGGUGAAAUGCUUAGAUAUGACACAGAACACCGAUUGCGAAGGCAGCUCACUAAGCCAUAACUGACGCUGAUGCACGAAAGCGUGGGGAGCAAACAGG